GUGGGAAGAACAAAUUGGAAGGUAUCAUUAAUCCAGGGGACCGAGUUUGUUUCCCAGCAGAUGUCCCUCCUUCUUCUUCUGCCCCCAAGGACAAAGACAACUCAUUCUCAGACACUCAGAGCCAUUGAAUCUACAUCAGGCAAACCUAAGGUAUCAAGGAUCAUCUCCCAGUAUCUUUAAACAUCUAUAGACUUGCAAGUGAAUGCUGCAGCAUUCAGGACUUGCCCAUCAGAGGAAGAAAAGGAAGUAAAGGACUUAUGACAUUGGAUAACCAGAGAGAAACACUCAGGUAUACAGUAGCCCUCGACUGCAGUGAUCUAAGCUUGGGAGCAAUUUAGCAGAUUGAAACUAGGAUGGCUCCUGGGGGAACUAUGAGACUGUGGCCAGCUUGAUUAACCCUUUUUUGUAUCUUUGGUGUGAAAUACUUGAAAUAACCAUGUAGGAAAUGGAUUGUAUUAGUAAGCAAUUAACCAUACAAUUGAUUCCAUAUGUGAUGUAGCUUGUGAAGUGUUUAAAAUCACAUGACUUUCAUGAAAUUGUUAGAAGUGUUCUGACUUGAUCUGAGGAAGGGCGUAAGCAUGUAAGCCCGAAACGGAUAUCAUCAUCCACGUCUAAAUAUCUUGAAUUCUUCUUUGGUAUGUAACCUUUAUGAAGAUAUUUGAAAAAGAAAGAAACGAUUUUAAGUGUAGCAACUCUUGAACUUUUUUCAUAUAUA